rnacentral:tRNA from 1 species
GAGGGUAUAGCUCAGGGGUAGAGUGCAUGCUUAGCAUGCACAAGGUCCUGGGUUCAAUCCCCAGUACCUCCA